rnacentral:rRNA from 1 species
UACGUAAGGACCGAGCGUUGUCCGGAAUCAUUGGGCGUAAAGCGAGCGCAGGCGGUUGUAUAAGUCUGAAGUAAAAGGCCGGGGCUCAACCAUUGUGUGCUUUGGAAACUGUACAACUUGAGUGCAGAGGGGGAGAGUGGAAUUCCAUGUGUAGCGGUGAAAUGCGUAGAUAUAUGGAGGAACACCAGUGGCGAAGGCGGCUUUUUGGCCUGUAACUGACACUGAGGCGCGAAAGCGUGGGGAGCAAACAGG